UCAGACGAACGCUGGCGGCGUGCCUAAUACAUGCAAGUCGAGCGAAUGACGAGAAGCUUGCUUCUCUGAUUUAGCGGCGGACGGGUGAGUAACACGUGGGCAACCUGCCCUACAGAUCGGGAUAACUCAGGGAAACCUGGGCUAAUACCGGAUAAUCCUUCGAAUCACAUGUUUUGAAGUUGAAAGGCGCUUCGGCGUCACUGUAGGAUGGGCCCGCGGUGCAUUAGCUAGUUGGUGGGGUAACGGCCUACCAAGGCAACGAUGCAUAGCCGACCUGAGAGGGUGAUCGGCCACAUUGGGACUGAGACACGGCCCAAACUCCUACGGGAGGCAGCAGUAGGGAAUCUUCCACAAUGGACGAAAGUCUGAUGGAGCAACGCCGCGUGAGUGAUGAAGGUUUUCGGAUCGUAAAACUCUGUUGUAAGGGAAGAACAAGUACGUUAGGAAAUGAACGUACCUUGACGGUACCUUAUUAGAAAGCCACGGCUAACUACGUGCCAGCAGCCGCGGUAAUACGUAGGUGGCAAGCGUUGUCCGGAUUUAUUGGGCGUAAAGCGCGCGCAGGUGGUUUCUUAAGUCUGAUGUGAAAGCCCACGGCUCAACCGUGGAGGGUCAUUGGAAACUGGGGAACUUGAGUGCAGAAGAGGAUAGUGGAAUUCCAAGUGUAGCGGUGAAAUGCGUAGAGAUUUGGAGGAACACCAGUGGCGAAGGCGACUGUCUGGUCUGUAACUGACACUGAGGCGCGAAAGCGUGGGGAGCAAACAGGAUUAGAUACCCUGGUAGUCCACGCCGUAAACGAUGAGUGCUAAGUGUUAGGGGGUUUCCGCCCCUUAGUGC
rnacentral:rRNA from 1 species